UCUUGGUCAUUUAGAGGAAGUAAAAGUGGUAACAAGGUCUCCGUAGGUGAACCUGCGGAGGGAUCAUUA
rnacentral:rRNA from 1 species